CUUUCUAUGUGAAAGCCUUCGGCUCAACCGAAGAAGUGCAUUGGAAACUGGGAGACUUGAGUGCAGAAGAGGACAGUGGAACUCCAUGUGUAGCGGUGAAAUGCGUAGAUAUAUGGAAGAACACCAGUGGCGAAGGCGGCUGUCUGGUCUGCAACUGACGCUGAGGCUCGAAAGCAUGGGUAGCGAACAGGAUUAGAUACCCUGGUAGUCCAUGCCGUAAACGAUGAUUACUAAGUGUUGGAGGGUUUCCGCCCUUCAGUGCUGCAGCUAACGCAUUAAGUAAUCCGCCUGGGGAGUACGACCGCAAGGUUGAAACUCAAAAGAAUUGACGGGGGCCCGCACAAGCGGUGGAGCAUGUGGUUUAAUUCGAAGCUACGCGAAGAACCUUACCAGGUCUUGACAUCUUCUGACAGUCUAAGAGAUUAGAGGUUCCCUUCGGGGACAGAAUGACAGGUGGUGCAUGGUUGUCGUCAGCUCGUGUCGUGAGAUGUUGGGUUAAGUCCCGCAACGAGCGCAACCCUUAUUACUAGUUGCCAGCAUUAAGUUGGGCACUCUAGUGAGACUGCCGGUGACAAACCGGAGGAAGGUGGGGACGACGUCAAAUCAUCAUGCCCCUUAUCCCUUGG
rnacentral:rRNA from 1 species